AUUGAACGCUGGCGGCAGGCCUAACACAUGCAAGUCGAACGAGUGGCGGACGGGUGAGUAAUGUCUGGGAAACUGCCCGAUGGAGGGGGAUAACUACUGGAAACGGUAGCUAAUACCGCCUACCAUCGGCAGUGCCCAGAUGGGAUUAGCUAGUAGGUGGGGUAACGGCUCACCUAGGCGCCGAUCCCUAGCUGGUCUGAGAGGAUGACCAGCCACACGGGAGAUGAGACACUGUCCAGACUCCUACGGGAGGCAGCAGUGGGGAAUAUUGCACAAUGGGCGGAAGCCUGAUGCAGCCAUGCCGCGUGUAGGAGGAGGGCCUUCGGGUUGUAAAGUACUUUCAGCGGGGGGGCGUUACCCGCAGAAGAAGCACCGGCUAACUCCGUGCCAGCAGCCGCGGUAAUUC
rnacentral:rRNA from 1 species